CGAAGACACGCGAGGUAGACCUUUAAUUCCAACGGAGUGAACUAUCAGCAACUACAAAAGAGAACCAUUUGUGCAUCUUUAAGUCUGACAACUCAGUCCACUACAGUCUUUGAGUUCAUAUUUAAUGAAACACAUUACUGCAUCGAUGCUUCAAAAAAAGGAUGGAUAACUGGGAUGCCUGAAUGAUGAUCACAGAAAUCCUAAAUGAAGGCAGUAGUUCUUAAAGAAGCCCACACCUGUGUCCGUUUACUACAGGGAUAACUUUCCAGAUGAAGAAAUUACCCACUUCUAUGGUGAUUCUUCUUGGCCAUGGCAUUCAAGGGAAUUAUGUGAAGAGUCAUCAAUGGCAAUGAUCGAAUGUGGUUCGAAACACUUCCACAUCAGAUAAGGAGAAAG